GUCUUUUUGGAAAUAAUUUAAAGUCAAAUCUGCCCACUGAUUUAUAAUUAAAGGGCUGCAGUAUAUUGACUGUACAAAGGUAGCAUAAUAAUUAGUCUUUUAAUUGGAGACUUGUAUGAAGGAUUUGAUGAGAUAUAGACUGUCUCUUUUUUAAAAUUUGAAUUUAAUUUUUUAGUAAAAAAGCUAAAAUUAAUUUAAAAGACGAGAAGACCCUAUAGAGUUUUAUAAUUUGUUUAAUUAUGAGUUAUAUAUAUAUUAAAUUAAAAAUUAAUUAAUAAAAUUAUUUUGUUGGGGUGAUAAAAAAAUUAAAUUAACUUUUUUUAAAAUUAAACAUUAAUUAAUGAUUUUUUGAUCCAUAAUUUAUGAUUAAAAGAAAAAAUUACCUUAGGGAUAACAGCGUAAUUUUUUUUUUUAGUUCUUAUAAGAAAAAAAGUUUGCGACCUCGAUGUUGGAUUAAGAUAAAAUUUAAAUGCAGAAGUUUAAAAUUUUUGAUCUGUUCAAUCAUUAAAAUCUUACA
rnacentral:rRNA from 1 species